rfam:TPA: Bos taurus chromosome 6, whole genome shotgun sequence.
UCCCUUGUGGCUCAGAUGGUAAAGAAACUGCCUGUAAUGCAGGAGACCCAGGUUUGAUCCCUGGGUCAGGGAA